rnacentral:rRNA from 1 species
UACGUAGGGGGCUAGCGUUGUCCGGAAUCAUUGGGCGUAAAGCGCGUGUAGGCGGUUCGGUAAGUCCGCUGUGAAAGUCGGGGGCUCAACCCUCGAAUGCCGGUGGAUACUGUCGGACUAGAGUACGGAAGAGGCGACUGGAAUUCCUGGUGUAGCGGUGAAAUGCGUAGAUAUCGGGAGGAACACCAGUGGCGAAGGCGAGUCCCUGGACAAUUCCUGGACGCUGGAGGCAC